CCCCUCAAAAUAUGUGCUUGUCACCUUCCAACAUUAGUCAGCACUUCCCUGCAUAAUCUUCCAACACUGAUGACUUAAAUCACUAUUACUUGUUGUUUAGCAGAAACUGAUGCUGUUUCUUCAGUAAUUUUGCUUGGAGCGUUCUGGUGAUGAGAGGAUGUCGAAAGUAUCCGCAGGCUGCAUCCUGGCAAUGAGAACCAACUGCCGUUCUUUUAUAUGUUUAAUGGCAAUAAACAUGUUGGAACUUGCAAGUAUCCUGGUGCAAAAGGAGCUAUUUCUCCGAAAGCUGGACCCGACUUGCAUGAUUUUUUAAAAACUCGUUUGAUUCAUGAAAAAAAUAAAUAAAUAAAUAAAAAUCAAUUUUUUAUAAAUAAUUUUUUAAAAAAAUAUUUUUUCAAAAUAUGAUUUGACAUAUUUGAUAGACUAUAAAAAAAUGAUUUAUAUCAGAAUAAUUUAUAUUUGUUAAACAUCUAUUUUUUAAAAAAAAUUAUAUAAAAUAACUAUUAUAUCUUAAUAAAUAUAAGAUCUUUCCGUUCCUAAACUUUAUAUAAAUAAUUAUAUUAUAUUAUAUUAAUAUAAAUAUAACAAUAGUAUAUUAUAAUAUAAUACUAGAUCAUAAUAAUUUAUUAUAUUAACAUAAUACUAAAUAUAUAUAGUAAUAUUAUAUUAAUAUAAUACUAAUAUUUUAAUAUAAUAAAUUUAUUAAUAUAUAUAUAUUAAAUAUAAUAUCAAAUAUAAUAUUAUAUUAAUAUAAUAUUAAUAUAUUAAUAUAAAUAUUAUAUUAAUAUUAAUAAAAAUAUUUUGUAAAAUUUUAAUCAUAAAUUUUAAAAAAUAUUUUUUGAAAAAAAAAUCAUUAAUUUCUAUCCCUUAAAAAAUCUCAAAAUCUAUCUCUCUAAUGAAUUUUCACUUCCCAUAGAAAGAGCUUUUACCAUUUUCUUUCUCUUAAAAUUCUAAUCAAAUAAGAAGACUCCUCUCCACUUUUUAAAAAUUAUAUUUUUUCCUCCUCUACUUCUCGUGAACCAAAUGAGUCCUAAAGAACUAAAAUGACAAAUGCUUAUAAGCUGUUGUCAAAUGGCAACUCAGUGCAUUUUUGACUGGUGCGUCUAAGGGCCACUGUAUUACAUGCCACUAUUUGAGAUUUAUGUAUGAUCUGCUCCCGGAGCCAAGCAUCAACCUCAAAGUUCAAAAAUAGCUUGAAGCCAUGCAUGAAUGGAAUAAAGGUUUGCACAAUGAGCAAACCUACAUCCCAAGACUCAGGCACUUACACAACCACCAAAAUGGGGGAUCAGACACUAAUAAAAAAAGGAUACACCAAUCUGCAGCACUACCUGUACAACCGCAUCAGCCAUCACAGAACCGAGCUAAACUGGAACAAGGCAGGGCCCAUGUUAUG
rnacentral:lncRNA from 1 species